GACGAACGCUGGCGGCGUGCUUAACACAUGCAAGUCGAACGGAAAGGCCCUGCUUUUGUGGGGUGCUCGAGUGGCGAACGGGUGAGUAACACGUGAGUAACCUGCCCUUGACUUUGGGAUAACUUCAGGAAACUGGGGCUAAUACCGGAUAGGAGCUCCUGCUGCAUGGUGGGGGUUGGAAAGUUUCGGCGGUUGGGGAUGGACUCGCGGCUUAUCAGCUUGUUGGUGGGGUAGUGGCUUACCAAGGCCUUGACGGGUAGCCGGCCUGAGAGGGGGACCGGCCACAUUGGGACGGAGAUACGGCCCGGACUCGUACGGGAGGGAGGGGUGGGGAAGGGUGGACAGGGGGCGGGGGGCUGGUGCAGCAACGCCGCGUGGGGGAUGAGGGGCUGGGGGUUGGAAAGCGCUGUCGCCUGUGACGGAGCGUGAGUGACGGUAAUGGGUGAAGAAGCACCGGCUAACUACGUG
rnacentral:rRNA from 1 species